CUGGGCUUGCAGUGGUGUGUGGAAAAUGAUACAUUCAACUUCAAGAUGGAUGUUGCUCAAAAAUCCUGUACUAGGCGUGGAAUGUUGUCAAUAUCAAGUUCUAUUUACGAUCCAUUGGGAUUUCUUGCACCAGUCCUGCUGCCUGACAAAAGAAUGCAGCAGGACCUUUGCAGAAGGAAACUGGGAUGGGAUGAACCAAUACCCCAAACCAUGUUGCAAAAGUGGAAAACUUGGCUCAGUGAUUUGCAAAUGCUUUCCCAUUUCGAGGUUAAACAGUGUAUACAACCAAGAGAGUUUGGACCUGUCUCACAUGCAUAACUACACCAUUUUUCAGAUGCUGGUGAAUCUGGAUAUGGACCUGUGUCAUAUCUGCGCAUGCAAGACAAUAGGAAAUCCAUCCACGUAGUAUUCUUGACGGGCAAGGCAAGGGUAACACCUCUAAAACCUGUCACUAUUCCACGUCUGUAACUAACAGCUGCUGUAGUUGCCGUCCGAGUGGAUCUCAUGUUAAGGGCUCAGUUGAGAAUGAAACUCGAGCAAUCUGUAUUUUGGACAGAUACUACAUCUGUACUCAUAUAUAUAAUGAAUGAGGAGGAUAAACGAUUCCUUACCUUUGUAGCAAACAGAAUUUUAACAAUUGCAACUGCAACUAAACAAUCACAAUGGAGAUAUGUAAGCUCAAAGGAAAGUCCAGCAGAUGAUGCUACAAGAGGGCUCAAGGCUGGGAACAUUGUUCAUAGCAGCCGCUGGAUCGAAGGACAAAGCUUUCUGCAGAAGCCAGAAAGUAAUUGGCCAACCAAUCUAAUGGAAUGCUCCUUAGAACCAGAGGACCCUGAAGUCAAAAGUGAGGCCACAGUGAAUGUUACUUGAGUAAAAGACUUGCUUGGUGCUACAUGUCAGUUGAUGGUGUACUUCUCAGACUGGAGAAGGCACAAGGUUGCUGUUGCUUGGUUCCUUAGACUGAAGGCAAUCCUUCGUUCAAUGAGAGAUAAGAAGAGAAGACCGCAACCUAACUUGGAUAACCCAAUUUGUAAAGGUACUACAAAGGAGAAAGUAAUGAAAACACAACUGUAUAGACUGUCUUCACAGGAUCUUCUGGAAGCUGAGCUUGCCAUUAUUAGAUUUUGAUAGCCACAAAGAUUUGGAGAGGAGAUAGCUGCGUUGUCAAGUGGGAAAGGUUCUGUGAGCAGGCACAGCUCAAUUUAUAGAUUAGAUCCUUAUCUUGAUGAUGAAGGCCUCUUAAGAGUUGGGGGACGACUGACAAAGGGCUCCUUGCCAGAAGAAAUGAAGCAUCCCUUUGUUCUUGCAAAGGAUCAACAUGUAGCAAGUCUCAUCCUAGAGCACAUUCAUCAACAGCUUGGUCAUAGCGGUCGUAACCACACCUUAUCCACAGUAAGGAGAAAAUACUGGAUCACAAAGGCCAACUCAGCUGUAAGGAAAGUUAUCGCAGAAUGUAAUUUUUGCAGAAAAUAUCAUGGAAAAGCCUUGGAGCAAAAGAUGCCAGAUUUACCCAAGGAAAGUCAGAGUUGAUUACUUCGGACCUAUUGAAGUGAAAAGAGGACCAGGUACAGCUAAAUGUUAUGGAGUCAUUUUCACCUGUUUAGCCAACCGAGCAUUGCACUUGGAAGUGGCUAGCUCUCUAAGCACAGAUGCCUGCAUUAAUGCUUUGCGCCAUUUUGUGAGUGGAAGAGGUCAAGUCGCUCACAUCCAAUCGGACAAUGGAACCAACUUUGGUGGAGCAGACAGAGAAUUAAGGGAGGCUCUUGAAUCACUGAAACAUACUCAAAUAGCGGAUGCUUUGUGACACAUUGGAAUAAAAUGGAGUUUUAAUCCGCCUGGAGCAUCACAUCAUGGUGGAAUUUGGGAACGGAUAAUUCGUAUGAUCAGAAAUAUUCUGAGAUCUGUUCUUCAGCAACAACAGUUGGACGACGAUGGAUUAAAUACGGUUCUGUGUGAAAUUGAAGCAAUUCUAAAUGACAGACCCAUCACAAAGCUUUCUGAUGAUCCAAAAGACCUAGAGCCACUUACACCAAAUCACAUCCUCCUGAUGAAAGGAAAACCAUCUUUACCACCCAGACUAUUUGACCCUCAGGAUAUGUAUCUGAAGAGAAGAUGGAAACAGGCUCAGUACAUCUCAGAUCUUUUUUGGAAACGAUGGAUACGUGAAUACCUGCCUUUGUUACAGGAGAGACAAAAAUGGAACCAAAGGAAGAAGAAUCUAAAACCUGGAGAUAUGGUGAUUAUAAUGGAUUCUUCUGCACCACGUGGUUCCUGGCCACUUGGAAAAGUUCCGGAAACCAUUCAUGACAAAAAAGGACUUGUGCGAUCUGCACCUUUAAAAACAAAGACUAAUAUUCUGGAAAACCUGUAACUUAACUUUGCUUGUUACAUGAGACUGUAAUCUAAAAUGAAUGUAUAUGUCUAAAGUAGUCUGUAUUAGUGGCUCCUUAUUUUCUUUGUGAUUAGAAUUGCCAUGUCUGAUAGCCAUUGGAAUUAGGGGCUGGGGUGUAGGAGCCAUUUUUGGGUUAAUACCUUAUGUGGCCGCUAGAGGUCACCUUUUUCUGUUUUGUUCAUGUAAAGGUAUUUAAGGUAGACGCAUGUAAUCAGCGUCAGGUGUGUCGUUAAUUGUGAGAAGGCAAACAGUUUGUGACCGCUGCGCUGUCAUGUCAAGAAGGUAUUGGAAUAAAGAACAAAAAGGACAAGAUACGUACUGCUGGAUUCAUUGGACU
ensembl:lncRNA